GACGAACCGUCCAAACGUUAUUCGGAAUCACUGGGCUUAAAGGGCGCGUAGGCGGCCGAGCGGGUCGCGGGUGAAAUCCUCCAGCUUAACUGGAGAACUGCCCUCGAUACCACUGCGGCUCGAGGAGGGAAGGGGUCAUGGGAACUGUCGGUGGAGCGGUGAAAUGCGUUGAUAUCGACAGGAACGCCGGUGGCGAAAGCGCAUGACUGGUCCUUUUCUGACGCUGAGGCACGAAAGCCAGGGGAGCAAACGGG
rnacentral:rRNA from 1 species